GACCAUCCUCCAAGGCUAAAUACUCGUGAUCGACCGAUAGUGAACCAGUACCGUGAGGGAUAGGCGAAAAGAACCCCGGCGAGGGGAGUGAAAUAGACCCUGAAACCGUGUGCGUACAAGCAGUGGGAGCCCCGCAAGGGGUGACUGCGUACCUUUUGUAUAAUGGGUCAGCGACUUACUUUCAGUGGCGAGCUUAACCGGUAGGGGAAGCGCAGGGAAACCGAGUCCGAAUAGGGCGCACAGUCGCUGGGAGUAGACCCGAAACCGAGCGAUCUAUCCAUGACCGGGCUGAAGGUGGGGUAACACCCACUGAAGGGCCGAACCCACGUCUGUUGAAAAAGCCGGGGAUGAGUUGUGGAUCGGAGUGAAAGGCUAAUCAAGCUCGGAGAUAGCUGGUUCUCCCCGAAAGCUAUUGAGGUAGCGCCUCGCGUCUCACUCCCGGGGGUAGAGCACUGUUUCGGCUAGGGGGCCAUCCCGGCUUACCAACCCGAGGCAAACUCCGAAUACCGGGAAGUGCAAUCGCGGGAGACACACGGCGGGUGCGAACAUCCGUCGUGAAGAGGGAAACAACCCAGACCGCCAGCUAAGGCCCCCAAAUUGCGGCUCAGUGGGAAACGAGGUGGGAAGGCCCAGACAGCCAGGAGGUUGGCUUAGAAGCAGCCAUCCUUUAAAGAAA
rnacentral:rRNA from 1 species